AAAUGAGUGAAAAAAAAUCCAUAAAGUCCGUCAAAACACCAAAUAAAUGGCCAAGGAAAUUAUGGAAGAUUAUAAAUAAAAUAAGUAGCAUAUAAUAAUUUUCUCAGAAUUUAACAAUGCGUAUUUUAAACCACUUAAAACAGAGGAGAAAAGAGUAAUUCCAUAAAAAAUAGAAAAUCAGUGAGAUAAAAUGUGAAAAAAUAAAAAUCAGAUGAAGAAAAAUAAAAGAGAAUUUUAAAAAUUAGUUUGGGAUUUUUUGGAUGAAAAAUGAAAUUACUAUGAAUUUUAAAAGAAAAAGAAAUUAAAAAUAAUAAAAAGAAAAAGAAUAAAAAUCAGAAAAAACACGAAGCGUUGGAUCAUGCCUCAUUAAUUAAUGUGGUAGAUCCAAUACUUCUCUAGUUAGGACGCAUGUUGGAAUUCAACACAAACAACAAAUGAGAUCUAAU
rnacentral:lncRNA from 1 species